rnacentral:rRNA from 1 species
GGCGAGUGAAGCGGCAAAAGCUCAAAUUUGAAAUCUGAUGUCCCCGACGUCCGAGUUGUAAUUUGGAGAGGCAUCUUCUGGAGGGGCCCAGCCUACGUUCCUUAGAACAGGACGCCAUAGAGGGUGAGAGCCCCGUUCUUGGCUGGAUGUCCCCGCCUGCAUGUAGUGCCUUCUACGAGUCGAGUUGUUUGGGAAUGCAGCUCAAAAUGGGUGGUAAAUUUCAUCUAAAGCUAAAUAUUGGCGAGAGACCGAUAGCGCACAAGUAGAGUGAUCGAAAGAUGAAAAGCACUUUGAAAAUAGAGUCAAACAGUACGUGAAAUUGUUGAAAGGGAAGCGCUUGAGACCAGACUCAGCCUCGGGCAAACAACCCUCCUUCUGGUCGGUGCACUUGCCCUUGGCCGGGCCAGCAUCAGUUGGGACUGCGGGAUAAAGGCCCAGGGAAUGUGGCUCCCCUCGGGGAGUGUUAUAUAGCCCUGGGUGCAAUGCCGCCCGUCCCGACUGAGGACCGCGCUUCGGCAAGG